rnacentral:rRNA from 1 species
AUUAGGUAGUUGGCGGGGCAACGGCCCACCAAGCCCACGAUAUCUAGGGGUUCUGAGAGGAAGGUCCCCCACAUUGGUACUGAGACACGGACCAAACUCCUACGGGAGGCAGCAGUGAGGAAUAUUGGUCAAUGGACGAGAGUCUGAACCAGCCAAGUCGCGUGAAGGAAGACGGAUCUAUGGUUUGUAAACUUCUUUAGUGCGGGAACAAAGCGGCGUCGUGACGCCGGAUGAGUGUACCGCAAGAAUAAGCAUCGGCUAACUCCGUGCCAGCAGCCGCGGUAAUACGGAGGAUGCGAGCGUUAUCCGGAUUUAUUGGGUUUAAAGGGAGCGCAGGCUGCGAGGCAAGUCAGCGGUCAAAUGUCGGGGCUCAACCCCGGCCUGCCGUUGAAACUGUCCUGCUAGAGUUCGAGUGAGGUAUGCGGAAUGCGUUGUGUAGCGGUGAAAUGCAUAGAUAUGACGCAGAACUCCGAUUGCGAAGGCAGCAUACCAACUCGCGACUGACGCUGAGGCUCGAAAGCGUGGGUAUCGAACAGGAUUAGAUACCCUGGUAGUCCACGCAGUAAACGAUGAAGACUA